AUUGAACGCUGGCGGCAGGCCUAACACAUGCAAGUCGAACGGUAACAGGAAACAGCUUGCUGUUUCGCUGACGAGUGGCGGACGGGUGAGUAAUGUCUGGGAAACUGCCUGAUGGAGGGGGAUAACUACUGGAAACGGUAGCUAAUACCGCAUAACGUCGCAAGACCAAAGAGGGGGACCCUCGGGCCUCUUGCCAUCGGAUGUGCCCAGAUGGGAUUAGCUUGUUGGUGGGGUAACGGCUCACCAAGGCGACGAUCCCUAGCUGGUCCGAGAGGAUGACCAGCCACACUGGAACUGAGACACGGUCCAGACUCCUACGGGAGGCAGCAGUGGGGAAUAUUGCACAAUGGGCGCAAGCCUGAUGCAGCCAUGCCGCGUGUAUGAAGAAGGCCUUCGGGUUGUAAAGUACUUUCAGCGGGGAGGAAGGGAGUAAAGUUAAUACCUUUGCUCAUUGACGUUACCCGCAGAAGAAGCACCGGCUAACUCCGUG
rnacentral:rRNA from 1 species